rnacentral:rRNA from 1 species
UACGUAGGGUGCAAGCGUUAAUCGGAAUUACUGGGCGUAAAGCGUGCGCAGGCGGUUAUGUAAGACAGGCGGGAAAUCCCCGGGCUUAACCUGGGAACUGCAUUUGUGACUGCAUAGCUAGAGUACGGUAGAGGGGGAUGGAAUUCCGCGUGUAGCAGUGAAAUGCGUAGAUAUGCGGAGGAACACCGAUGGCGAAGGCAAUCCCCUGGACCUGUACUGACGCUCAUGCACGAAAGCGUGGGGAGCAAACAGG